GCCGCGGUAUCUCAAUUGGUUAGAGCAUCGCACGCGUAAUGCGAAGGUUGUGGGAUCAUUCCCCACCUGCGGCA